UGGUCGGGGGAUAAAAGAUAAGAUUUAUAAGAAAAUUAACAUCGUGUUGCCGAGAAAAUAAAAAAUUAUAAUUGAUUAUUUUGAACUAAACUCGAAGAAUACAAAGCAUCACGGACUUCAGACAGAUUACAGGAAAAGGAAAAGUGUGGGAGACAUCACCAAAGCAUUCUCAUGAAUGUAUUUUUAGUUAAGCAUAUUCUAUUAGCAUAGCAUUUUAUAAUAUUCCAUUCAAAUUGCUCGAUAUUUUCCAUGUGGCAUACUAAUCAGAUACAAAUAUAUAUGUCUUUGUUCCACAAAACACAAAAGUUAGAAAAAAGCUGAUUUCUUUAUAAUUUCACGUUCGCCAUCAUUUUAACCCAAUAAACUAAACAUGCAUUCCAACAAAAUAAUUUGAGAUCCUUUGUCACAAAAGCAAUGUAAAACAUAUGCUAUUCCUAAGAUCACAACGGUUCUGGGAGACAAAAUUGCUGUGGCGAUGAAAAUGAUUUUCGACCUAUAAAUCGUCCGCAAAAUUGUCAAGUUAGUCUUCAAAAACACAAAUUAAGCAAAAUUGAUGAGUUUUACUGAUGAUGCAACCGCUGUGGUAAAGGGUUAAUGCAAAACUGCGAGAUACAUAGCGAGCAUAUUUCAAACAAUUGAACACGCGUAGCUGCCUACACUAUGCGUUCGUGACAUCUUAUCAUGGAGCUGAUUUUUUAGUUGCUCACCGAAAACCGCCGAGUAGCGUUCAAGUAUGCUAACAUUUUCAUGAACUCUAGCUGGACAGCUGCCACGAGGGAUCAGUGUUAGACUGUCAAUGUGGUCUUGGUGGAGAAGAAAACGCUUAACAGCAUCUUCCUGCCCGCUGGCUAAGGAGUUAUAAAGAAGUCAGUAGCUAAUACUUCUUUAUCUCAAGUUAAUGAUACGGCGAUUUUCCUUCAAGCGCCGGAAACUGGUUCAGUUUCUGCCCUUCACCUGCCUUACUUAGCCCUUCUUAAAACCUCUCUAGUUUGCACUUAUAUGCAUGAUAUUUUAUUACUUGAUCAGUACUGCUUAUAUUCGCCCGCUUUAAGAGACAGCGGUGCCUUUGGAGUGCCAUCCAUUAGAGUCAGUCAUGAUACAUUUGACCAAGAUGGAGAUGUUUAGACAGCAGUGAAAAAAUUUAGCAAUAAAUUGUUUUGUUUUUGGUCAUUAUGAGAAAAUGUGUAGCUGCUCGUUCAGUUCUGUGCAGCUCGAAAUUUACCUCGUAAUGAGAUUAGAUGGUAUAGUGUUAAUAUUUUGAGAGUAUAAACAGUGCAUUCUAAGCGGGAAUUUAUCAGUUAUCUAAAAGGUGACUUUUUGGAACUAAACUAUUCUUUAUUAACGAUUAAAAUUUCAUCAUAUUACGCCAGGGGCUUAUUUGGGCUGGCCAUUUUCUUUUCGAGUUUUGUUAAACGAAAUUAAAUUCUCCCAAAGAAAGGAGCAGAACAGAA